GACGAACGCUGGCGGCGUGCCUAAUACAUGCAAGUCGAGCGGACCACUUCGGUGGUCAGCGGCGGACGGGUGAGUAACACGUGGGCAACCUGCCUGUAAGACUGGGAUAACACCGGGAAACCGGUGCUAAUACCGGAUAAUCCUUUCCUUCACAUGAGGGAAAGCUGAAAGACGGUUUCGGCUGUCACUUACAGAUGGGCCCGCGGCGCAUUAGCUAGUUGGUGAGGUAACGGCUCACCAAGGCAACGAUGCGUAGCCGACCUGAGAGGGUGAUCGGCCACACUGGGACUGCGACACGGCCCAGACUCCUACGGGAGGCAGCAGUAGGGAAUCUUCCGAAAUGGACGAAAGUCUGACGGAGCAACGCCGCGUGAGCGAUGAAGGCCUCCGGGUCGUAAAGCUCUGUUGUCAGGGAAGAACAAGUACCGGAGUAACUGCCGGUACCUUGACGGUACCUGACCAGAAAGCCACGGCUAACUACGUGCCAGCCGCCGCCGUAA
rnacentral:rRNA from 1 species